AAAGUACAUUGCAGGUAUACUUGACUUCUGUUUUUCAUUUUCCUCUUCUGCUUUUGAUUUUUCAGAUUUCAACUGAUGCUUCUCCUAUUGUUGUAGCCUGGAACUUCCCUCAUUACCUGGGGUAUUCUUGCCCAAGAACAUUUAACUAUUCCUUGAAUAUCUCUACACAAGACCCACUGCCUUUUCCUAAAGCAGAGAAAUGGUUUGCCAUUGCCUUCUCCAGAUCAUUUUGAAGAUGAGGAAAUGGAAACAAAUGGGGUUAAGUGAUUUUCCCAGGAUCACACAGCUGUGUGCCAAGAAUAUGUGCUAUAUGUGUGGUUCCUAG
rnacentral:lncRNA from 1 species